GUAGGCCUCGGUAUCGAUGUCGAUCUUGUUGAUGGUCUCGCCCUCGUCGUCCACGGCGAAGACGAAGUCCACCUCUUCGGCGUUGUAGCUCGUCCCACCGGAAGACGAGAGAGCAGUUCUGCCAGUCGAAGGGGAAGUAGGUGACCUCCACGGCGCAGGUGCUGCGGUAGAUGGCCGGGGGCAGCCAGCUCACGGAGCCGCCCUCGUAGACCAGCACGUUGGCGUCGUAGGCCACUCCGAACUGGCCGUCAAUGCUGUGGGCCGCGACAGAGCGGCGUCCGCCCGGGCCCGCGACCCCCUCGCCCUCCCAGCAAGACCAGCUGCCGCCCGCCAGCACGAUCUCUGGGAGCCAGACGAGUUCCGAAGGGACCCGCAGGAUCUCCACACCGCCGAAGUCGUCCUUGCUGUAGUUGAGCCGGUAAUCCUGCCAGUCCUAAGGAGUGGGGGUGGUGCGCUCCGGCGCCCUGCACCUCCCACCUGGUGACGGCCAGGAGACUGGGAGAAAGGGCCCAAGACCUCCCGCUGUUUCCCAGAUUGGACUCACGAUUCCAAUCCAGACGCUGGUGGUGAGGGUCUCCUCUUUCUCGUUCUGCGGACAAGGGUCAGGAUGGUGGAAGUGGGAUUCCAGAGCCAGGGGUUCAAUGUCAGGCUCGGGGCUGCGGGCGGGGUACCGUACCAGGGAGAUGAGGUUGGUCAGGGUGACCUUGAGGGUGACGGUAACAGUCUCUUCAGACUCCUUCACUGGCCGCCGCUCUGGGUCAUAGUUGUCGAAGAGAUGGUGGUAAAGACGCAGCUCCUCGUUCUUCGCCUCACCUCCACCUGGGGAUGGGGUCAAGUGGUGGGCUCACAGCAGAGGAAGGGCUGGGAGGGGGGCCCUCUCUGCUGCCUCCAGGUCUGCACAGGGCUCUGCUGCAUGUGUCUCUGAGGCUCUGUGCCCUUCCCUGUCUCCUGAGCCAGGUACCAAGCCUGCUUCUCGGUUUCCCGUCUUUGCCCCGUCCCUGGGCGUCCCUCUCCCUGUGCGUGUGGCCGACCCUUGUCCCUACCGAGGAGCUGCAAGAGGAGCAGGGUGCCCAGCAGGGCCCCUGCCAUCGCGCUGUCUGGUCCUCGGGGUUAUUCUGAGCCCUGGCAGGCUUUAGGGGGGCAGGCCAGGGUGUGGGAGGGAGGGAGGCGGGUGUUAGUUCCGGGCUGGGUUAGGGGACUGUCACCUAAUCCUCUUCCCACCGCUACUGCAGCCAGAGACAUUUUGGCUGCUCCCAGAGGCAGCUGCCCCAUCCCAGCGUCCUUUGCCCGCUGUUUGGCCGGCGCUGCGGCCACAGACCCGACCUUCUUACGGCCGGAGCAACCGGGUGCAGGUGCAGGUCCUUGAAGAGCACCUGGAACCACAAGCCUGGCAGUGGGGGCAGGGGGUGGCCCUGCUCUGAACAUGCGCUGGUGUCCCUUGAGUAAGCCGCCCUGUGCAGGUGACACCCCUUGCCUCCUGUCACUCAUGUGGAACACGUUACCACCACCCCCGGCCCAGCCAAGGCCACAGCAAUGCGGUUUCCGCCCGCGGAGUCUGGCGAAGUCUCCACAAAGCUGGUAAUAAGACAGGCGGCCGCAGGGGAUCACUCGGCAGGAACAGACCACCUGGCAACGAGACCCUGCGGCAAUAGGGCGGCCUCCCCCCCCACAGCCUAAAUCCCAGGUGGGCCCACCCGCGGCCCCUCCCGGGACCUGCCACAGACGCCCGUUUCUCCUGGCCUCUCUGCUGCCACCUUGUGGCCACAUCUGGUGAUAACGCCUUCCCGCCCCAAGCACACUUGAACUGAUUCUUUGCGAUUUUAUCUUAAAGUGUCCUUGGACCACCCUAGUCGAUCAUCUGAGGUGCUUGCUUACAAUUCCUAUUCCUAGGUUCCGUCCCCAAAGAGCCCUGAGUUAGGAGGAUGCCAGAGUUGGGGUGCCAGGGAUCUGGUUUUUCUCUUUAAGAAGCUGUCCGUGUUUGCGCAUGCACUUUUUGUGCCUUGCCCAUUGCGUCCUCAUGCUAAUCCGGGGAGGUGGUUUCCGUUGUCCCGAAAGUACGAAGGGGGACUCUGGUCAGGUCCACGGUCACAAGAGCCGGUGGGCAGUGACGCUGGAGCUCCGGCAGUCAGCUUUACUGAUCAUGUGCCGCUGCGUUCCUUUCACACUUGACAAAACGCUUUCAUGUCCGUUCUUUUGGGGUGUUCUUCCUCUACCUGUGAGGUCCCUCCUCCUCGCGCCCGUGUUACAAGCGAGGACCCCAAAAGCCAGAGGGUCCAUGCAGCUUGUCCCAUUUCCCAGGCGUCCUUGAAGCCGCCCCUUCCACGGCGAACAGGCUCAUCCUUCCGCCCUCUCCCCUCCAGCUCUGCAGAGCGGAUGUGCUGGGCCCAGCUCAGCUCCGUGCACGCGGCCGGUGGAUGCACUGGUUCUGAUCUGUGCAGUGGUCUAUUCCGUGGUCCCUGGGCCAAGAGCUCUGACAAAUGCAGGGAUUUAUGGGACGUGAAAGGGCCCUGCAAGGUCCCUGCCCUGGCCCAGCCACUCGGAUUCUAGAGCUGGAUAAACCGCAGCGGCCAGCAGGAGGGGGCCUUCGGUGACAGCAGCGUGGUCCGAGGGUAGCUGGGGCACCGCGUCAUUUGGCUUCCCUGUGUUACAAGAAGCAGCUCCACAGGGCAGGUGUCCUGUGGGCUUCCGCGAGGACUGGGACAGACGGGGCCGUGUCGGAGGCCAAGGCAGCUCCAGGGACCCGCCACUCCCGCCUUUCCCACCUCAGCUCUGCUCUGUGCUCCUCUGGAUCCUGACCAGCCUACCUUUUCUCACGGCCUUACUGGACCCAAAGAUCGCACCCUAACAGGCAACUACUUCCUUCACCCUCUUGGAACAGCGGCCGCCCUCCGUGGCCUGGCUGGAUUCUUAGCCAUCGGUCCGCUCACGGUGGAGAUCCCCAAGCUGGUCUGAUGAGGCCCCCUCUGCACACAACAGAAAGAGGCCCCCUUCCUUCUGUCAACAGGGAGAGUGGGUUCAGCUGAGCCAGGCAGUGCCUGGCCGACCUCGGUUCCUACACUGUCCCCCCUCACUAGCACCCACGUUCUCUGAUCGCUGAGACCUUGCUGGUUUACUGUGUUCAGAGCACAAGUGCCAGAGCCUCACACAUCAGAAGCACUCGACAAACACUGAACAGAUAAGUCAGUGCAAAUGAAGGAACAUCUUCCCAGCGCCGUCCCUUCUCCAACCAGGGGACCCCAGAGGAUCUACCAGGUACUUAGAGACGCCCACCCUCUGGCCAGGGUUGAUGGGUCCAGGGGAGGACACCAACCCAAGCCCAGCCUGAGGAAAUCCUUCCCUGACAGUGUUGUCCGGCAAUGACUCAGGAAGCAGGGUGUGCUCUGCUGGGGGCACUGACGCUUACACGCAGGACGCUUACACGCGGGGGCAUGGGGCAGCUGGUCGCCACGCGGGGAGACAGACAACGCACCGGGGACGCACAGACCAGAGAAGGCCUUGGGCCUCCCCACCCCUGACCAGGCUACGCUCACUGACACCUGCAGGCUGGUGGUUCAGCACUUCCUUUGAACGAGUCACCUCUGCAUCUUUCCAACAAAGUCUCCUUUGACUUAAAAGUAGUAGCAUUAAAAAAAGCAAACUAGCAUAAAGAAAACAAAAGUGCCCCAUAACACAAUACCCAGAAAGAUUCUCCUGACAAUAAAAAAGCAAUGCAUGCUGUCCUUUAUAUGUAGGGAUGGCAAACGUUAUUACAUGGAUUCUCCCUCUCCCCCCACCGUGGGCCUGCAGACCCCUCCCCAGUCUGCCCGGCCCGCAGCGCCCUCCCUCCGCCCAUCAGUGCCGGCCAGACCGGCCUAGGCAGCUCCCCCUGCCAUCCCCAGAACUUAGUGGGCAGCUUGGCAGAUGGCAGGUCUUUGAUAAAAGCGUAGGUAAUUCAUGAAUUCAUAAGUCCACUCUUGCGCAGGUCUGAGCCAUUUGCUCCCAGAAUACAGCAUUUUCCUGCCUUUCAGGACCAAGGAGGGACAUUACUGGGAGAGGUUCACAGGUUGGUGGCAUUGAGAGCAAAGUACUAAGGGAGACAGGGGAAGGCCGGAAACUAAAAAGACAUAAAGCAGGGGCCUGCGGAGUGCAAAGGAAAGUCUGAAAUAGAAGAGCGAAUGAAUGGCCUCAAGGUCAAGUUAAGCCAACCUAAAACCUGAGGGUAGUUACUGCCCCACCUAAUAGGGCCUUCUGUUAAAAUUAUAAAGUGUAUACUAUGUACAAGUAUGUAUAGAAAACAUUUGUACCAGUUAAAAGAGCAAUAAUAAACACAUGCCCACCAUCCACGCCAAGAAAUAGCCUCUUACCGUCCCCGGAAACCUCUCGCUCCCCCCCCCCCCCACAGACUACCCCUCACCCUUCUCAGCGGUAACCGUUACCCCAAACCUGCAAUUCUUCUGUUUUCCUUCCAGUCAUGACAACCUACCUGUCCCAAUGUUUCAGCAUUUGUAAUGGAAUAAUAAUGUGUCUCUUCAAAAAAAUAAACACACGCCAUCACUAAAACACAGAAAAGUCCAGAAUAGACAUGAUGAAACUCAAACCUUUCUUGUUGAAUCGCUAGGUGUUACACCUGACACCAAUGUAACAUCGUGAGCCGACUAUACGAAAAAAUGCAAAAUCACAUCAUGCCUCUUCCCACCCA